UGGGGAAUUUUGGACAAUGGGCGAAAGCCUGACCCAGCAACGCCGCGUGAAGGAUGAAGUAUUUCGGUAUGUAAACUUCGAAAGAAUAGGAAGAAUAAAUGACGGUACUAUUUAUAAGGUCCGGCUAACUACGUGCCAGCAGCCGCGGUAAUACGUAGGGACCAAGCGUUGUUCGGAUUUACUGGGCGUAAAGGGCGCGUAGGCGGCAAUUCAAGUCAUCUGUGAAAUCUCCGGGCUUAACUCGGAACGGUCAGAUGAUACUGCUUUGCUAGAGUGCAGAAGGGGCAAUCGGAAUUCUUGGUGUAGCGGUGAAAUGCGUAGAUAUCAAGAGGAACACCUGAGGUGAAGACGGGUUGCUGGGCUGACACUGACGCUGAGGCGCGAAAGCCAGGGGAGCAAACGGGAUUAGAUACCCUGGUAGUCCCUGAGCGGGCUGGCAAGGCGCAU
rnacentral:rRNA from 1 species